rnacentral:rRNA from 1 species
ACUUGGAUAUGGAUUCUUCACGGUAACGUAACUGAAUGUGGAGACGUCGGCAUGAGCCCUGGGAGGAGUUAUCUNUUCUUCUUAACAGUUUAUCACCCUGGAAUUGGUUUAUCCGGAGNUAGGGUNUUAUGACUGGAAGAGCGUAAUAUCUUUGUUACGUCCGGUGCGCUUAUGNCGAUCCUUGAAAAUCCACAGGAAGGAAUNGUUUUCAUGCCNAGUNGUNCU